rnacentral:rRNA from 1 species
GGCGAGUGAAGCGGCAACAGCUCAAAUUUGAAAUCUGGUUCCCCUUUGGGGCCCGAGUUGUAAUUUGUAGAGGAUGCUUCGGGCAAGGAUCAGGCCUAAUUUGCUUGGAACAGCAGGUCAGAGAGGGUGAGAGUCCCGUCCAGGGCCCCGUUCCGCGUCCAUGUGAAGCUCCUUCGACGAGUCGAGUUGUUUGGGAAUGCAGCUCUAAAUGGGUGGUAAAUUUCAUCUAAAGCUAAAUAUUGGCCAGAGACCGAUAGCGCACAAGUAGAGUGAUCGAAAGAUGAAAAGCACUUUGAAAAGAGAGUUAAACAGUAUGUGAAAUUGUUGAAGAGGAAGCGCUGGCAAUCAGACCUGUGUGCCCGGUUCCCCCAGCUCCGCUGGGUCAUUUCCGUGGUUCCAGGCCAGCAUCGGUUCAAGCGGCUGGUUAAAGACCCUGGGAAUGUAUCUACCUCCGGGUCGACUUAUAGCUCAGGGUGUAAUGCAGCCCGCCUGGACCGAGGUACGCGCUCCGGCUCGGAUGCUGGCGUAAUGGUUGUCAGCGGCCCGUCUUGAAACACGGACCAAGGAGUCGAACAAUGAUGCGAGUGUUUGGGUGCCAAACCCCUACGCGGAAUGAAAGUGAACGGAGGUAGGAGCCCUGUAUGGGGUGCACUAUCGACCGAUCCAGAUGUCUUCGGAUGGAUUUGAGUAAGAGCAUCCUUGUUUGGACCCGAAAGGUAAGCCCCCCCCCCCCGUCCUCGUUCCUUGGGGCGACGUAGGCUAACUGUAAUAUAGGAGGUGAACUAUACUUGGAUAGGGUGAAGCCAGAGGAAACUCUGGUGGAGGCUCGCAGCGGUUCUGACGUGCAAAUCGAUCGUCAAAUCU